AUUGAACGCUGGCGGCAUGCUUUACACAUGCAAGUCGAACGGUAACAGGCCGCAAGGUGCUGACGAGUGGCGAACGGGUGAGUAAUGCAUCGGAACGUGCCCAGUCGUGGGGGAUAACUACUCGAAAGAGUAGCUAACACCGCAUACGAUCUAUGGAUGAAAGCGGGGGACCGUAAGGCCUCGCGCGAUUGGAGCGGCCGAUGUCAGAUUAGGUAGUUGGUGGGGUAAAGGCUCACCAAGCCAACGAUCUGUAGCUGGUCUGAGAGGACGACCAGCCACACGGGGACUGAGACACGGCCCAGACUCCUACGGGGGGCAGCAGUGGGGAAUUUUGGACAAUGGGCGCAAGCCUGAUCCAGCAAUGCCGCGUGCAGGAAGAAGGCCUUCGGGUUGUAAACUGCUUUUGUACGGAACGAAACGGCUCUGGUUAAUACCCGGGGCUAAUGACGGUACCGUAAGAAUAAGCACCGGCUAACUACGUG
rnacentral:rRNA from 1 species